UACGAAGGACCCAAGCGUUAUCCGGAUUUAUUGGGUUUAAAGGGUGCGUAGGCGGGUUAUUAAGUCAGUGGUGAAAGCCUUCAGCUUAACUGGAGAAUUGCCAUUGAUACUGAUGAUCUUGAGUAUGAUUGAGGUGGGCGGAAUGUGUCAUGUAGCGGUGAAAAGCUUAGAUAUGACACAGAACACCGAUUGCGAAGGCAGCUCACUAAGCCAUAACUGACGCUGAUGCACGAAAGCGUGGGGAGCAAACAGG
rnacentral:rRNA from 1 species